AUGGCCAUCCCAAAGGCAUUGCUUCUUGCCAUCCUAGGCAGCAUCUGCUUAUGCAGUAGCACCGUUCUAUCAGCUCGCGAGCUUGGUGACGCGGCCAUGGUGGAGAAGCAUGAGCAGUGGAUGGCGAAGUUUAACCAUGUUUACAAGGACAGCACCGAGAAGGCGCAGCGGUUCGAGGUGUUCAAGGCUAACGUUGCCUUUAUCGAGUCGUUCAACACCGAAAAUCACAAGUUCUGGCUCGGUGUCAACCAGUUUACCGGCCUCACCAACGACGAGUUCAGAGCAAUCAAGACCAACAAGGGCCUCAGAAGGAAUGAUGCUAGGGCUCCAACCGGCUUCGAGUACAACAAUGUCAGCAAUGAUGCGCUUCCAGCGGCAGCUGAUUGGAGGACCAAGGGCGUUGUUGUUGUUGGGCUUUUUCAGCCGUGGCUGCAACCGAGGGGGUGCGCGGGGGGCGAGAUGCACGACGCUUUCAAGUUCAUCAUCAAGAACGGUGGCCUCACCACUGAGGCCAACUACCCAUACACUGCACAAGAUGGACAGUGCAAGACUAGCACUGCAAGCAACAGUGUUGCAACCAUCAAGGGCUAUGAGGAUGUGCCCGCCAACAAUGAAUCUUCUCUUAUGAAAGCCGUGGCUAACCAGCCUGUAUCAGUAGCUAUGGACGGAGGGGAUGUCAUAUUUCAACACCUCUCUGGCGGGGUGAUGACCGGCUCCUGUGGAACUGAUUUGGACCAUGGGAUAGUAGCGAUUGGUUAUGGCAUGACGAGUGACGGAACUAAAUUUUGGCUGCUGAAAAACUCAUGGGGCACGACAUGGGGCGAGAGUGGGUACCUCAGAAUGGAGAAGGAUAUUUACGACAAGAGUGGUAUGUGUGGCUUGGCCAUGCAACCUUCCUACCCAACCGAGUAG
rnacentral:rRNA from 1 species